rnacentral:rRNA from 1 species
AGUGAACGCUGGCGGUAGGCCUAACACAUGCAAGUCGAACGGCAGCACAGUAAGAGCUUGCUCUUACGGGUGGCGAGUGGCGGACGGGUGAGGAAUACAUCGGAAUCUACUUUUUCGUGGGGGAUAACGUAGGGAAACUUACGCUAAUACCGCAUACGGCCUACGGGUGAAAGCAGGGGAUCUUCGGACCUUGCGCGAUUGAAUGAGCCGAUGUCGGAUUAGCUAGUUGGCGGGGUAAAGGCCCACCAAGGCGACGAUCCGUAGCCGGUCUGAGAGGAUGAUCAGCCACACUGGAACUGAGACACGGUCCAGACUCCUACGGGAGGAAGCAGUGGGGAAUAUUGGACAAUGGGCGCAAGCCUGAUCCAGCCAUACCGCGUGGGUGAAGAAGGCCUUCGGGUUGUAAAGCCCUUUUGUUGGGAAAGAAAAGCAGCAGGUUAAUACCCCGCUGUUCUGACGGUACCCAAAGAAUAAGCACCGGCUAACUUCGUG